AGGAGAGUUUGAUCCUGGCUCAGGAUGAACGCUAGCGGCAGGCCUAACACAUGCAAGUCGAGGGGCAGCGCGGGGUAGCAAUACCCUGGCGGCGACCGGCGCACGGGUGCGUAACGCGUAUGCAACCCACCCGCAACAGGGGCAUAACGGAGGGAAACUUCCACUAAUUCCCCGUAUUGUCGUUUUUCCGCAUGGGAUUGCGACGAAAGCUUCGGCGGUUGCGGACGGGCAUGCGUGACAUUAGCUAGUUGGCGGGGCAACGGCCCACCAAGGCUGCGAUGUCUAGGGGAGCUGAGAGGCUAAUCCCCCACACUGGUACUGAGACACGGACCAGACUCCUACGGGAGGCAGCAGUGAGGAAUAUUGGUCAAUGGCCGGAAGGCUGAACCAGCCAUGCCGCGUGGGGGAAGGAGGCCCUACGGGUCGUAAACCCCUUUUAGCCGGGAGUAAUAAGGGUCCUGCGGGGCCUGAUGAGAGUACCGGCGGAAUAAGCAUCGGCUAACUCCGUGCCAGCAGCCGCGGUAAUACGGAGGAUGCGAGCGUUAUCCGGAUUUAUUGGGUUUAAAGGGUGCGCAGGCGGACGCGUAAGUCAGCGGUGAAAUGUCCCGGCUCAACCGGGGAGCUGCCGUUGAUACUGCGCGACUAGGGUGCGAGCGGCGCCGGCGGAAUGUGUGGUGUAGCGGUGAAAUGCAUAGAUACCACACAGAACACCGAUCGCGAAGGCAGCUGGCGAGGACGUUACUGACGCUGAGGCACGAAGGCGUGGGGAUCGAACAGGAUUAGAUACCCUGGUAGUCCCCU
rnacentral:rRNA from 1 species